UCAAUCUGGCUUCUCUUCAGAUAUGGAGUAAGCCUUUCACCUUUUACUAAAGAUUUCCGUGGAGAGGAUCUAAUGAGUCUAAACUCAAUUUUUCUCAAAAAUCGGGGACGAUACA